rnacentral:piRNA from 1 species
UUCUGGACUAAUAUCAGUGUGUGCAU